rfam:Oryza sativa Japonica Group DNA, chromosome 4, cultivar: Nipponbare, complete sequence.
UCUCACAAACCCUGGUUUCCGUGUUCAACGUUUGACCGUUCGUCUUAUUUGAAAAAAUUAUGAAAAAAAUUAAAAAGAUAAGUCACGCAUAAAGUAUUAAUCAUGUUUUAUCAUCUAACAACAAUAAAAAUACUAAUUAUAAAAAAUUUCAUAUAAGACGGACAGUCAAACGUUGGCACGGAAAUCCAGUGUUUGCUUUUUU